rnacentral:rRNA from 1 species
UACAGAGGGGUGCAAGCGUUGUUCGGAAUUAUUGGGCGUAAAGCGCGUGUAGGCGGCUUUGCAAGUCGGGUGUGAAAGCCCUCAGCUCAACUGAGGAAGUGCACCCGAAACUGGCGAGCUUGAGUACGAAAGAGGAUCGCGGAAUUCCUAGUGUAGAGGUGGAAUUCGUAGAUAUUAGGAAGAACACCAGUGGCGAAGGCG